CGACCGUAAGCGUCCUCAGGUGUUCGUAUGGGAGGAUGGGUGCCAAUUUGUGGGGUUUGUAAUAGAGCUCAUGAGGGCGAAUGUCGGCUGAGUGGUGGACCCCAGUGUUACCGAUGUGGCUGAGUGGAACAUAUUGCUCAUGAGUGUCCCGUCAGAGUUCAAGGAAGCCGUGGAGGUAGACGCAGUGGAAGAACAAAUCCAAGACAAGCAGUGCAAACCCGAUUUUAUACUGUCACACCCAGAGAUGUGGAUGAUGAGGCGCCAGCGACCCAUGAUGCUAGAGUAAUUACAGCACCUGGAGAUAUGGAUGAUGAGGCGCCAGCGGCCCAUGAUGCUGGAGUAAUUACAGGGCAUUUAUGGAAGGAAAGAAAGAAUGAGACCUAUGAGGAAAUAGAAGAAUUGAUUAUGGUUUUAUGGAAUCUCAUCUAAUAGAGAUCAAUUGCACUUCACUCGGAUAGCCAACAGCAGGAGCACGCCGAACAUAUCAUGCUGGACGCAACACGUUGCAGUAGAGUGGGGUUGGUUUAUUUUAUUUUUCACUCUCUUUUCGUUGGAGACCUUCGUGCAGCAAGGAAACUCACACAUGCAGAAAACUUGGGACCACAGCAGCUCACACAUGCAAUAAACCUGUAGCAAGGAAACUCACUCGGACGUGCAGUGGCUGGACGUGUAGGAGAUCAGUUAUGUGCUGCUAGAAGGCAAGCUGUUCAUUUUAGCUUUCUUGCUUCUGCACAUGGAAGGUCACCACGGCAUCACAUGGAUAGCACACACUUGGAAAGCAGCUUUUGGCAUGUGAAGCUGAGAGAUGGAAGCACGUUGAAGACAGCAGGAUGCUGGAACUCACGGAUGGAAGGGAAACAAAUCAACAAACAGAGCCGGACAGCAGCACACCACACGUGCUGACCAUUGCAAGAUAAAUAGAACCAAGCACAUGGCUGGAAGACAAGCUGUUCACUUCACCUUUCUUGCUUCUGCACAUGGAAGUUGAACGUGCAGUAGCAGAGCUUUUUAUUUCUCUUUCUUUUUCGGACAACUGGACGGGAAACAACAGCAGAGUUUAUUCCUUCUUUUUCGUUUGGGUAGCUGGCAACAGUAGGAGCUUUUACUUCUUUUAUUUCUUUCCUACUCAUUGGAGACGCUGGCAGUUUUUCUUUUUCAGACUUCACCUGGUUUUCGUUUAGGAGGAGAGUAGAGUAGUCUGAAGUUUAUUCAUUUUCUCUUCUUUUUCAUUUGGAUGGAAUGACAGUUUUAGUUUUUCUUCUUA